AACGGGGCCACGGGGUUGCGGGACUCCGUCCGGGAGAGCGGGACUGCGGGACUUGCAUAGGUCCUACAUAGAUACCAAGGGUCAUUGUUACAGCCGUUGAAUCAAAGGGAAUAAUGCUGGGGCUGGCUCUGAGGAGCUCAGCAACAUCAGGAGACAUGCUGGCCACUGGCCAAGAAGCAGCUGAGAUGAAGAAGAAAUAUCUUCCCAUCAAUUCAGCAAAGGAAAGAGGCUAUAAAGUAAAGAAGAAACAACCCAAAGAUCCUAGCAGCCCUCCCACUCCUUGGAACCAGGAGACUG